CAGCCAGUGGCGUAGCGGUCUAACGCAUCUCAUUAGCAAGGAGAUGGUCGUGGGUUCGAAUUCUACCUGGUUGG
rnacentral:tRNA from 1 species